rnacentral:tRNA from 1 species
GUGAAAAGAGGUGUAUAUCACUAUUCUGAUUUGAAGUCAGGGGGCUGCGUUAUGGAGACGUGUUUUCACU